UCCCUACGGGGCGCAGCAGUGGGGGAUAUUGCACAAUGGGCGCAAGCCUGAUGCAGCGACGCCGCGUGAGCGAAGAAGUAUUUCGGUAUGUAAAGCUCUAUCAGCAGGGAAGAAAAUGACGGUACCUGACUAAGAAGCCCCGGCUAACUACGUGCCAGCAGCCGCGGUAAUACGUAGGGGGCAAGCGUUAUCCGGAUUUACUGGGUGUAAAGGGAGCGUAGACGGCAUUGCAAGUCUGAUGUGAAAGAUUGGGGCUCAACCCCAGGCCUGCAUUGGAAACUGUAAAGCUGGAGUACAGGAGAGGG
rnacentral:rRNA from 1 species